rnacentral:rRNA from 1 species
GACGAACGCUGGCGGCGUGCUUAACACAUGCAAGUCGAACGGUGAAAGCGGAGCUUGCUCCGCUGGAUCAGUGGCGAACGGGUGAGUAACACGUGGGCAACCUGCCCCUCACUUCGGGAUAACUCCGGGAAACCGGGGCUAAUACCGGAUAUGACCUCCUUGGGCAUCCUUGGAGGUGGAAAGUUUUUCGGGGGGGGAUGGGCCCGCGGCCUAUCAGCUUGUUGGUGAGGUAGUGGCUCACCAAGGCGACGACGGGUAGCCGGCCUGAGAGGGGGACCGGCCACACUGGGACUGGGACACGGCCCAGACUCCUACGGGAGGCAGCAGUGGGGAAUAUUGCGCAAUGGGCGAAAGCCUGACGCAGCAACGCCGCGUGCGGGAUGACGGCCUUCGGGUUGUAAACCGCUUUCAGCAGGGAAGAAGCCGCAAGGUGACGGUACCUGCAGAAGAAGCACCGGCUAACUACGUGCCAGCCGCCGCGGUAA